ensembl:lncRNA
AUGUCUGUGUUGCAGGCCCAGACUGACCUAGUGGACGUGAACACUCAGAACCGCGACGGGCUGACCCCUCUAAUGCUGGCUGUGAGGGACGUCGACUUGUUUGAGGAGCUGGACGUCCGGUUGCCAUGGGAAUACAGACCUGUGGAGGUGGUCAGGGAACUGCUGGCUCUCUCAGCUGACCUGGGGGUGUGUGACGUCAACGGCUGUUCUGCUCUUCACUAUGCUGCACAGAUAGAGAGCCCCCUGAAAGACGAACUCAUCCACAUGAUGGUUGAGUCCCUCAGACAGCCAGGUAUAACAUGACUUUCAACCAAGAUGGUCAGACAAAUCCAACAUAACACAACUCAGAUGUUUGGUAUGGUUUGAUAUAUUCUGUUUACUUUUGAGGAUAUUCCAGGGAAAUACUUCUCUAUCCAAGUACAAACCAUGUGAUCUGUUGGUUAUACACAUACUAGUACCACACCAAAUCUGCUUGUUUGUGGCAUUUCGUUCUUAUGACAUCACAGCACUCAGGUCAUGUACAACCUGAUGCCUUUAAACUUUUCAAAUCGAUCCUGACAGAAAUGCAAUACAGAUUUGACUUAUCUAUUAGCUUAGUGUAUAGCACAGGAGGCUGCUGAGGGGAGAACUGCUCAUAAUAAUGGCAGAAACAGCACAAAUGGAAUGCCAUUAAACACAUGGAAACCAUGUCUCUGAUACCAUCCCACGUAUUCCGCUCCAGCCAUUAUCAUGAGCCCCUUCUGCCCAAUUAAGGUGCCACAAACCUCCUGUGGUGAAUAGUAUUGAUUUAGUCGAUCCGUGCAGUGUGUACUUGCGUAAUCAAAUGUUUUCCUGAGCUUGGAGGAGGGGUCAAAGCCAGCACUCAUAUGGGAAAUCCUGGUGAAUUCCUGAGGGGCUGAGUGUGUGAGAGGGCCUUGUUUCCUCUUGUGCUCACUGACUCCACACCUCCGUCUCAUUCUGCCCUGGUCAACAAACAGCGCCCACGCCCCUGGACCUGCAGUGCUUCCACCCUGAUGAGCUGAGAGUAAACUCCCCCAGCCCCUCUCCCUCUCUAACCGAUGAGCUGAGAGCAACAAACUCCCCAAGCUCCUCUCCCUAUCUGACCCAAAAUGUCCUCAUUCAGACUGCUGCCAGCACAGAGGUAAGUGAUCCUCCAGUUGUACAGUUAUGUAAGAAGUGUACAAGUCUGUCAUUUAGUGGAGACCUACUUCAUAAUGUGAUUUUGUUCACUAUGUGUUAAUACAUUUUAAGAUCAUCAAAUAUAUUACAAGACAAGUUAGUUGUAUUGCAUCAAAAUAAAUGUACUACAACAUAGCUUCUGUCUCAAAUGCAUUAUUUAUUACUUGCCCAAAUAUCCUUAAUCAAUUAAAAGGCUUAAUCCAUAGUGGCUCUUCCCCUAAAGCAAUGGGGCCCAAUUCACCAGAGACCUGAGUUACGUCAGUGUAAUUGGCUGGUGGGGAGUCUGUGUUCUGACUAGAUGACUCUUAGCUAUAUCCUGACUUUGCUUUGAAGUGGCCUUAACAGGUGAGACAAGGGCAGGGAGCGCAGCUGGCUACUGUCUGGUGUCUAAUGACCCAGCCCACUUAUUGAAUAGCGGAAGGGCAGAUGGUUGAAAGAGGCUAUCCCAGGGGCACACAAACAUAGCAGACUGGGCACUAACGUGAAGCUAUAUAAUAUUUUAGGGCCCCCCCAGGGAAAUUAAAUGGGGUGGAGUUGUUAAUCAGAUGUUUAACAAUCUAAUUCGUUAUAGGCUCUGAAAUAAAUGUCAGUUGAACAUAACCACUAGCUACAACAACAGUCACCAUCGUCCUCCUAACUGCACUUAGGACAGUGAUAUCAUAGAUAUUUUUGUGGAUUCAUGCCAAAUGCCACAGGGUUUAAGGCUACUUAUGACCAUUCUUAUUUUCCCAUUGUAGGAUUUGCUGGAGUCUCCAGAGUGCGUUCCUUUAUCCGACCAUCAUAAAGCCAUCAAUCAAGGUAAGCUGUAUUUCCUUAUUGUGCACUGUCACCUACAGUAGGUAGGGUCUUGGACAGUGACUCCUUGUGUCCCUGGUCUGUGUGCCCUGUUGGCUCUACACAAGACCACCCCCUCCUCCCAAACACACCCUUCCCCUCUCUUCACACACUGGGCCUAUCCCACAAAGAGACAGCCACAAAGGCCAGCCCUGCCAUGGCCCAAGCUGAUUGGGUCAGUGUGCUAAAUCACUCCCCUCAAGGAGACACAAUACAGACUCCCAGCUGGAAACCUUCCUGACUCCUGUCAGACACACACAACAGAAGAGUUGCUCAGAGAGCGAAAACGAGAGCGAGCGAAUGAGAGGUGUACAGCCCCUCUCAAUCUCAUUCUGUCAUAUAAUCUGAGUAGGCUGAGAUGAGGGUAGAUUGGACUAACUGGCUCUGAAACAGGUAACGUCUAUUGUUUCUUAUGUUGUUCUCGAACCACUUUGUUUGGAAAGUACUAUAAAUGCUAAAUGUCAUUUGUAGUUUUCUGCACAUAGGCUGUGUAUAGAAACAGUUGUGUGUAAAAACAACAUGUAAAUAGUGUAAAAUGUUUUGUAUUAUGCAGUGAUAAUAAAUUAUAUUAUUGGUUCAGUUGGAUCUUGGUGAAAUUCUACUGAGUUUAUCAUAAACAGUGUCAUGGUGGAGCAUCUGGGCUCCCGAGUGGCGCAGCGGUCUAAUGCACUGCAUCUCAGUGCAAGAGGCGUCACUACAGUCCCUGGUUCGAAUCCAGGCUGUAUCACAUCCGGCUGUGAUUGGGAGUCCCAUAGGGCGGAAGACAAUUGGCCCAGCGUCGUCCCCGUUUGGCCGUCAUUGUAAAUAAGAAUUUGUUCUGAACUGACUUGCCUAGUUAAAUAAAGGUUAACUGGAGAAAAAAAAAUCGGAUUUGUCAGUGGACUGUUGUGAUACCGAAUGCUAUCCUACGUGUAACAGAGGAACCAUUCACUGUUGGCUUGGGACUUUUGCUGUUGACACACAGUAGCAGUAAUGUCCCUGCUGUGUGUGAAAGGUACAUCAACCCCUACUGACCUCAGGCUGUGUUGGGUCCUGUAGAUAAGGGGCUCUCCCUCUCCUUCCAGAGCGCCAUGGAUACCCUGAUGGACAUGAGGCAAGCCUACCAAGAUCUGGGGAAGGGUAGCAGGUGGGCACGCACACACGCUCCAUGUUAAUUAGAACGGCUAUAAAUUAAUACAACAAUACAGUAACCACAGGGCAAAUUGAGUCAGGAACACAUCCAAACACCAACACCUGUUCAUACAGACACACACAAACACUUAUGCACACAUCCUUGCUAUUAACUAGCACUCUCACACACAAACAAAUCCACCGUAUGCUAGUCCCUCCUCCUUGUGUGUACUUCACCCCCCCACCCCUCCCUCACUUACAUAAAUACAGAAUAAGAAGUGUCCAGUUACACAGUCAGGCCAGCAGUCAUCAUGUCAAGGGCAUGCCAAUCUUCCCAAACAGAGAACAGAGGGAGACCGAGAGAAACAGGGGGAGGGAGGGAGAAACUGAGGGAGAGUCUACUUUCUGAAACAGAUCAUUGUCUGUAGGGCUCUUACUGCUGAGAGAGGUCCAAAGGGAUCCUGGGAGAAUAAACCCCUUUGAAAAGUUCUCACUUUACAGCAUCAGCCCCUGGCCAGCGUCCUUCUGCUGUGCCCUCUGUCCUGCAUCCACACAGAACAGAGAAUGUCCAUCCCUUUCAAUUGCACUGUGUUCAUUAUUAGGAAAUUAUAUAAGAUUACCCUGUCUCAGCUCCAGGUUUUGUGAAUUAUAGAUGAUUUUAAUGAACCAAAUUAUUUUACCAAGAUUACCUGUGAAGAGCAUAGUGAGGUGCAAAGGAUUUAUUCUCAAAUCUACUUUGUUCUCUCUCCAGUCAAGGUUCAUCUCUACCCAGUCUGUGGUUCAGAGCCAGACACUUAGACAAACUGGAUCCUACACCGGGGCUAUUGAAGACCACAGGAAGCUCAUCCUGCCUGCCUGUUCCCCCCAGGCUCAGAUGUGAGGCUGUUGCCCCCAGCCCGGUGGCCCCUCACCCAGCCCAGCUGAGCCAAUCUGCCCCCGGUCUAUUGGAGCCUCUCCUGGACUCUCUGGUCCAGGCCCGAGUUCACAUCCAGAACAGUCAGUAAUAUAAUAAUAUGUCUGCUAAAGGCUUAGAGGACAGUAUAAAGGUCAGCAUGUUGUUGAUUCAUUUGUUUAGGUAAAGGUCAUGCUCAUGAAUGUGUUUAGAGAAGUACUCUUUGUUGAGGAAAUUAGUUAAGUAAUUUUGUGUUUGUAAAGCUUGGCAUGUUCUUGUCUUGCAGGGCUUGGAUGUGUUGAAACGGAGAAAAAAAGCAGUUGUCGAAAGGUAGGUCAACUCAAAUAAAUCAUGUUUUAUUCGUACAUCACAUUUUCAUACAGCUUCCUUAGUUUGUAAAAACCACCUGUAAUCUGCUAUUUAUUCACAGUUGCCUUUUCCAAUCAUCUCUAUCCAGGGCUCCUUCCCUGCCCUGCUUCCAGGCCCUAUCAGGACCCCCAAGCUGUUAGCCCCUCUGGAGGGGAGGCAUAGAAACGAAGGAGUGCUGCCCGGCCUGAAGCACCCUUCUCCCCUAAAGC